ACUCAGGUCGUGUGCUGGGGCUUUUCUCUCCUAGGAGCUGGCGGGGGAGGGGGAGGGGCCGCCGCUCCGCCUUCUCCUUUUCGCAAUGUUGACGCAAUCUAUAAAUAGUGGAACAAAAGAACCAACUUCCUCGGAGCUUUGCUGAAACUGCACAAAAUAUCGAGCUGAGGGGUUCCCUGGUCCCCGGCGGCAGGGCGGGGAGUGUGGCGCCGGGGAGGGGGCGGGAGCAGCAGCGGCAGCGCGGGCCUCGCCGAGAGGGGACACCUGGCUCGGGCACCGCUGCCGCUGCGCCGCCCCAGAAGCCCAGGCUCCGAGCAGUCCCUGCGCGGGCUCGAGAGCUCGCCCGGACUGGGGGGUCUUCCUCCUCCGCCGAUGACAGAUAGAAGAUGAGAAGCAAAGAGGGAGAGAAAGAGAGAAGGAAGGACACCACAACACUGUUCCACUGUGUGAAGAUUCCCCCUUGCAUGUGCUCCCUUGUGCUGACCAGGGACUCACACCUAUGUCCUCAUGCUUGGUGAAUUAUAUGCUCUCCCAGAAGAAUCAAUGCAUAUCGACUGACACCUAAGGACCUACAGUCCCAAAGUCCCCAGGGCUCCUCCACCUUUGCGGUUGUGAGAACUGCUCCACGCAAGCGCAGAAGAGCUAGGAAGCCGGCAGCUUGAGAAAGCAGAACCGCGGACCUCCGGGAUUCUGCGCAAGUGCAAAGCGCGGGGGUUGGGGUGGGAGUUGUGCGCAUGAGCAAAAAUGCUGGGGAAAGUGGCGACCGGGCGGGGGAGUGUAGAGGCGAUAUUGACAGCUGUGGCGGCAGCCCGCGUUCCCGGCAUGCCCCGGGGCGGCGGGGUUGGCUCUAACGAAUUUGAAUGAGGAGCCUCAGCGCUUUCGGCGCCAUUUUCGAGUGAUGCCUGAUCUCAUCCAUCUAGCGGGAGGAACGUUAUAACCUGUCUGAGGGCACAGAGUCGCUCGGACUCGACCGAAAAAGAUUACUGAAAAAAAUUGUCAAAAAUUUUAUCGAACCAGAGGAGCCCGUGGAGCUUGGCCGGGGCUGGCGCCGUCGGUUUUGACCUUUAGGAGAGAACCAAUUCAGAAGAACAACCUAACUUCUUUGAUUGAAUGUGUUGGAACAUGACAGGAGAUUAAGGAAGCCUUACCUACUUGAAGAAGAUGUCUUUUGAAAUGUGUGUUACAAGGAAUGAAUUGCUGUUUAUAAAUUGUUUUUAUCAUCAAGGGCUUCACUGCUUCGAGACAACUUAUUCUUUCAGGUAGACACACUGAAAGAAGGAAAGAGAGGCUGGGUGGUGGUGCACCUGGUUGAGUGCACAUGUUACAGUGUGCAAGGACCCGAGUUCAAGCCCUCGAUCCCCACCUGCAGGGGGAAACCUUCACAAGUGGUGGAGCAGUGUUGCAGGUACUAUCUCUCCUACGCAGGGUGUCUCGCUGAUCGCCACGAAGUAGAAGCUAUGGGAAGGAAGGUUUAGAGGCGUUAAGGCAUGAUCGGACCUUACUCAAACACUGGAGGUUGAGGAAUGAAAUCAAGAACUUAAAAGUUCAAAUAAUUCAGUUAAAAAUUGGGAAUUGGGAGAGUUGGGCAGUAGCACAGUGGGUUAAGCGCAGGUGGCAUGAAGCGCAAGGACUGGCAUAAGGAUCCCGGUUCGAGCCCCCCAAGCCCCCACCUGCAGGGAGUCCCUUCACAGGCGGUGAAGCAGUUACAUCUGACUUAUAUGCCUGGUCUACUGACUUCAUCUUUUCAUGACAGAUGAAGAGCACUACUCAGCUUUGGUUUAUGGUGGUGGUGAGGAUUGAACCUGGGACCUCAAGUGUGAAUGUCUUUUUGCAUAUUGACUAUACUCUCCCCAUUCCACACAUAAACUUCUGUAAUGUGUGCAUUUAACCAUGUGCACCACCAACUGGCCUUUAUAAAUACAUUUCUAAAAGUAAAA